rnacentral:rRNA from 1 species
GACAGAGGCCCCAAGCGUUAGGCGGAAUUACUGGGCGUAAAGCGUGCGCAGGCGGUUUUGUAAGCCAGAUGUGAAAGCCCCGGGCUCAACCUGGGAAUGGCAUUUGGGACUGCAAGGCUGGAGUUUGGCAGAGGAGACUGGAAUUCCUGGUGUAGCAGUGAAAUGCGUAGAUAUCAGGAGGAAUACCGAUGGCGAAGGCGGCUCUCUGGGACGGUACUGACGCUGAGACGCGAAAGCGUGGGGAGCGAACAGGAUUAGAUACCCG